rnacentral:misc_RNA from 1 species
AAGGAUCAUUACUGAACUGUCGACACGAGUUGUUGCUGGCCCUCGAAAGGGGCACGUGCACACUCUGUUUACACAUCCACUCACACCUGUGCACCCUCCGUAGUUCUAUGGCCUUGGGGACUCUGUCCCAUUGCCGUGGUUCUACGUCUUUACACACACACCGUAAUAAAGUCUCAUGGAAUGUAUGUCGCGUUUAACGCAAUACAAUACAACUUUCAGCAACGGAUCUCUUGGCUCUC